rnacentral:lncRNA from 1 species
GAAAUUUAUCUUUGAACUGGAAUUCCUGACUGUUAUCUUCCUUUUUCCUAGGGACUGAAAUCCUAACCUGAAACCUUAGUCUCUAUAACCAUCACCCUCCUACAAGCUACCAGAAUCUUUGGUGACUGCCUACAAGGAAAGCUACCAAUUUUCCUGCUACCAGAAUUCUCUGACUCCAUGUAUUACCACCUGAGAGAAGAACAUCCACUAGUAGACUCCAACCUGACUUUCACUUUGAUCUUCCUUAUAUCAUUUUCUACUUAAAUCUCUCCUAAUCACCUUUCCUGACUUGGGGACUAGGGAAGAGAUUGCUUUAUGACUCAAAGGAAAACAGUUCAAUACAACAGAAAAAGCAAUAAAACUGCAGUCAGGGGAUCUGAGUUUGAAUCCUCAUUAAGCCACCUGAGCAACCCCCCCUUUUUUUUUGACUGAAGGGAGCUAAAGUAUAAACAUUAUCCCAUGAUGAAUAAGAAACCACAGCAGCAGAAGACAGCUCCAGCAGACAGCAUUUUAGCAUAAGGAAUCAGGAAUGGUCAGACAGGUAAGAAGUGAACAAAGGAGUGUCAUGAAAAUUCCUAAAGUAGAGAGUAUCCAAAUGGAGAGGGUGUUUAAAGGUUUCAAAUUGGGAGGAAGGACAAUUAAGAGUUCAAUUAGAGGCAGCUAGGUGGUUCAGUGCAUUGAGAAUCAUGCCUAGAAAUGGGAAGUUCAGAGGUCAAAUGUGAUCUCAGACACUUCAUAACUGUGACUCUGGGCAAGUCUUCUAACCUCCACUGCUCUUUUCCUAUGGAAUUCAAUCAAGUACUGAUUCUAAAAAAAGAAGAACUGGAAAGACCUGCAUGAACUGUUGUAUAGUGAAUUAAGCAGAACCAGAAGAAUAUUGUACCCAGUAACUGAAACAUUAUGGGAUGAUUCAAAUGUGACUGACUGCUGCCAAAAGCAAUGCAAUGACCCAGGACAAUUCUAAGGAUUUAUGAAAAGGAACGCUAUCCACCUCUAGAGAAAGAACUGUGGGAGUAGAAAUGCAGAAAAGAUAUGAUUUAUCACUUGUUUAUAUGGGUCUAUGAUUUGGAGUUUUGGUUUUAAAAGAUUACUCUUUAUUACAAAAAUAAUAACAUGAAAAUAGGAUUCGAGUAAUAAUAUAUGUAUAACCCAGUGAAAUUGCUUGCCAACUCUGGAAGGAGGAAGGGAAGAGGGAGGGAAACAACAAGAAUUAUAUAACCAUGAGGAAAAAAAUAAAAAUAAAAUCAAAUAAUCA